AUUUUCAACAAUCUGGAUCUCUUGGGGUUCUUGGGCAUUCAGAUGCAAAAACCGCCAACGAAAAUGACGAUUAAAUUAAUUGUAGAAUUAGCCAGAAUUUCAUGGGAAUUCAUCUGAAUCUUUUGAAAAGCAUCAUUUGCGCCCCAUUCCUGGUAUUCCUGGAUGGGCCAUACCGUGUAUCUCAGCGUUCAUUUC
rnacentral:rRNA from 1 species